UAGUAGGAGCUGGGAGAGGCACUAGUGUCUGGCACGCCAAAUGGCUUGGGAAUUAUCCCUUGAAAUUACUUUAUCCUGACGUAUAUUCCAUAUCUAUUCAAAAACAAGACUUGCUAUCCAGUUUCAUUUCUGUAGAGGGAGGUCAGCCUUUUUGGAAUUUACUGCUCCAUAUGAAGAGUUAAUCAGGUGCGGCUGACAACUAUACUUCUCUGCUGUCCUCUUUGUACAACGUCUGUUAUUUGCCAAGAAAGCAUGAUAGGAUUAUCUGGUCUUUGGAACCAUGUGGCUCUUUGUCUGUGAAGUCGCUGUACGAAAUGCUUUUCAGGGAUCAUUACAUUCAAAGCCAUAACCACCUUGCCAAGUUUUGGAGAUGCAAAGCACCAAGCAAGGUGAAAUCAUUCUUGUGGCUGUGGGGAUGUGCCUACCAAGCGUGUGUUUGUUUUGUAAAAAUGCAGAUGAAUCAAUUGACCAACUCUUCCUGCAAUACACUUUUGCGGAAAGGAUUUGGGAUUGGCUGAGUGGUAUUUCGUGCUGGUUAACUCCCUGUCCCAAAGGUAUCUCUAACCCGCUGCAACAAAUUUGCACUCCCCCAUUCGCUUCCUUGGGUAUCGACUUGUGGAGAAUUGUUGUUGCUGAUGCGCUUUGGAGUCCGUUGAAAGAAAGGAAUUUGCGGACGUUUGAGGGUUGCAGCAAAGAUCUAUCUUUCCUUAUUGAUUCUAUUAAGAGAUCGUCUAUUAUCGUAUGUAAUCCGACCGGUUCUUCAAAAUCCCCGUUCAUUUUGAGGGGCAAAUGCGGUAGAUUGGAGUAAUAAAUGAUCAAAUCUGUAAAGGAGUGGACAGACGGUGGGGAUCCCAGUAAAUCUGUAAAGAAAUGGACAGACGUGUGGGGAUCCCAUUAAAUCUGUAAAGGACUGGACAGACGUGUGGGGAUCCCAUUAAAUUUGUAAACGAGUGGACAGAUGUGUGGAUGCGAGCGGGGGCGAUGAGGUGACACGGCCAACCGAUUCGGACCAUUCAUCGUGUGGCGAUCAUUACACAUCCCCUUCAACAUGGUCGGUUUUCAACUUUACCCAUUCCCCAUUAUUGCCCUGCAAAUCUGCUCUUCCGAUCCACACAACGCACCCUUUCCUUUCUCUGUUGCAAAAACUUAACAUUAUUUUUUGUUUUUUUUUUUUGGUUUUGUUUUUGUCUCACAGGGGGAGAUCCUGUACGUGUGAAAAUAACAGAAGAGGUCAUGCAUGCUU